GUGCGCAAAGAACGCCUGUGACUUUCGCUCUAAACAUGGCGCCGAGGGUAGCAGUAGUCGGCUGUGGUGUUAUUGGAGCUACUUCUGCUCUAGAAAUUCUGCAGUCAAACCCUUCAGUAAGGCUUACCGUAAUAGCUGAUACAUUUAGCCCUGAAAACACCAGCGAUGGAGCGGCGGGUUUGCUCAUGCCUUUUGCAGUUGGUGAAACCGACCCCGGGCUAGUUAGGCGAUGGUUCAAAGAGACCAUGAGAAGAUUUGAAGAGCUUCUGAGAAGUGAAAUUGCUCCCGAGCUUGGAGUCUUCCGUGCGUCAGGAUGCUUGGUGGCAGACCACCAACAAGAGAUUCCAGACUGGAAAGACCUGGUCUAUGGCUUCAAACAAAUGAGCAGAGAAGAGCUUGAAAGGUUUCCCCUUUCUGCCAAGAUUGGUUUUGUAUUUGAGACUAUCAUUGCGCAAGGGAGCUACUACAUUCCCUGGCUGAUGAAAAGGAUACAACAUUAUGGUGGGAAAAUUGUGAAAAGAAGACUUGAUUCAUUCCAAGAGCUCGCUAAAUACUUUGAUGUAGUUGUGAACUGCUGUGGCCUUGGAGCAAAGGGGCUGGCCCAGGACCGUCACAUGUUUCCUAUCAGAGGCCAAAUACUCCGUAUUAAAGCACCAUGGAUCAAACAGUUCAUUUUAUAUGAGAAAUAUGAAGACUUGAAAGCUGGAAGAUUAAAUGAUAUUAUUCCCCAGAUGGACCAUGUGGUGUUAGGAGGGUGUGCGCAGGCUGGCAGCUUCAACACAGUGCCAACCCUCCAAGACACAGUGAACAUCAUUGAGGAUACAUCUAAAGUCAUACCUGCUCUUAAGAAUGCUGAGGUCAUCAGCAACUGGUCAGGUUUACGGCCAGGCAGGAAAACAGUGAGACUGGAAAAAGAAGUGAUGCACUUCAAAGAUGAAUCAGGAUGCAUAAUUAAAUUAAACGUCGUUCAUAACUACGGUCAUGGAGGAGCCGGCCCCUCGUUGUCAUUUGGCUGCGCUAAGGACACCGCUGACCUUGUGGCGCAAAUAUUGUCACGUGACGCAAAGUCCAUGCUUUGAACUAAGCUUCGCCACAAUAGGCGGGGUAGCCGCAACAGCAUGGCCAUUUACUGCGGGAUGGAAAUAAAUGUAUAGUCCCUACGCUGCCGUGCGGUUCAUUUACAAGCACAGUUGAUCAUUUGAAUAAGAAGGACAAGUACAGCAUUGAAGAGAUACCGCAGUCGCAUGGUGUUCAGUCCUCCCGGUCGAAAGAAAUGUCUGAGCUUUGGGCAAUGACUCCCAGAGAACCUGAGAACCCAGCAACACAGUACCGCAUUGAUUUGGGCUCAGACAUGGCACAGGCAGGGGAAGGGAUGGAGCCUCGUCCCCAGGCUACUCCUUUGCUUUCUACUCCAUGAUGCUUUGCGCGUAGACUCACACUUUCCAAUAUGGCGGACGCUUCAUGCUGACUUCUCGGGGGCGAGAGCGGAAAGGGCCUGUGACGUCAUAGCCAUGUAGAGCGUGAUAGGCCCGCCUCGAAGCAAAGGGACGAGGCAAGUACCGCCUCAAGCGAUAGAAUAUAGGUCUUCAGUUCUAUGUCACAUACUUGUAUUUCACGGGCUGGAAGGAAUGGAUUUCAUUGUAUCUAUUUAUUAGUUUUCUGAGUGGUGUCUUUCAGGAAUCCGCGAAACUUUCGCACUUUGAAACGUGAACCGUCUUUGAGAAUUGUCAACUUUUUUUGGGAAUGUUAACACCAAGAAAUAUUAAAUUUGUUUCAAUCAGUCCCAUUCACAACGUAAAAAUCAUGAGGAUCCAUUAAACAAUGUGCAAAUCUUAGAGCCAAUAAAAGCAAACCAAUUUAAGGAGGGGGCGUAAGGGAGGUGCGAAAACCGCACAGAAAAACGCCAAAAACCGUAAACCGGCAAAAUACGUCAAUAACCGUGAACCGCGAAGUCUAGAGAAACCGCACUACCGUGGAAAAAAAAUACGAAAAAAUGAAAAACCGCGCCAGAUAUAAGGCAAAACCGCAUCAGCACAAACACUUACGGCCCCAUUUAUAAGCAAAAUUAUCAAGUUUAUUGAUUUCUGUAUUGGAAAUCUCUGAGCCCUUAUAUAUGGAUAUACUAUGGAAAGAUCGGGUUAUCAAGGGUAUAAGGAAACUUGUAUAGGAACAAAACUCGUGUAUUGGGGUAGCCCCUGCUCCGAAAAAUAAUUAUGACUAAGUUAAAAUAAAUGUAGAAAGUUGAGAAAUUUUCCAGUAAAUUCGAAUGAUUCCUGCGUUACAGAAACGCCAAAUGUUUUUCUCCCUCCCAUCAAAACAAACAAAAAAAAACAAGCAAAAAUAUAAUAAAUACUAUGGAACACAUCUAAUCUCUUGCGUGAUGGUAGUUUCCUGAUUUUCUUUGGUCGACAAACACUGAAGGGAUGUUUUUAAGCCACACGAAAAAUAUGUAAUAAAAUAAAACAGGAAACCUUUUCAUUUAUAUGGGAAAAGCAACCUGCUCUAUCAAGAGGUUCAAUGUUUAGUUCUUUUUAGUCUAUUGUUAGAAUGGUUCAUACGUUAUCUUUCGGCUUAAGUUUCUUCGCCUUACGUUGACUUAUACGCAGGGAAAAACUUUUACGGAUGCCGAACCUUUGU